CUGCACCCAGCUCCUGCCCCCGCCCGUCCCCCAGGGGUAGUUCAGUUCCUCCUCCAGUACCACCCUUCUCAGAGGCAGCAAGAGAGCGGAAAAAUAAGAUAUUUUUGUCCCAUUGCACAAAGUUUACCUUAUUGAAGAUUUGAGGUCAAAAGCUAGUGAGUCCCUGCAGGGAUGCCAUCAGAUCUCUGCGACAUCACAGCCUGAGAGUUCCAAGCCCUGUGUCCUCAGGUGAGGUAAGUAGGUGGGCUCUAAGCCCCUUACCCUGCACCUGUGCCCCAGGCAGCUGAGCGGUCCCUUAGCGCUGUUUCUUGCUCCCCCGUGUUCCAGACAUGGUUGCAAAGCCAGGCUUCAGGCUAAAGGAUCUGUCUCUGUGGGAGACUUCCAGGCUGUGUGGCCAGCUGGGCGGUGGCUAUCCAUGGUCUUCAGGGAGACCCUGGUCUUCACCAUAAGGCAGGCUGACGUGGCCUAGCGUCGGCCUGCUUCCCCUUGGGCUGGGCCCACUCCCGUAGACCCCACAGGCCCCAGAUGCUACAACAGCACCUGGGGACCUGUUAGAAGCCCAGACUCUCAAGUCCCACCCCAGAGGGAGUGACUCGGAAACCCUGGAGGUGGGCCCAGCGACCUGUGUUUUAACAAGCCUCCUGGUAAUUCUGAGGCACCUCCAGUUUGAAAAACUAGAUCAGCCAUCCUCGAGUGUUUGCGCUGCCUGCCCGCCCUUACCUGCAGACAAAGCGCUGUUCACGCCUCCACAUCGGUUCUCUGUCUUAUUUUAUACAUUGUAUCUAUUUACGUACACAUUACAUUUUCCAUAUAAAGAAAAACAUCUGCAAAAAAGAUUGAAAAGGGUGCAAUCAAGAUGAAAUUAACAGUAUUUGUAAGUGUCUUACUUUUCUCUGGUGAUCAGGCCACGGUGGACAUCAGCGCCUACGGAUGUAAAGUCCCAGCGGUUUGGCCAUCUCCUGGUCAGAUCUGCGGGAAGCUCUGUGGUUUGACCUCAUAACCUGGCUCACUACAAGCUCCCGCGGAGAGAAUCUUCCACACCCUCUGGAAUGUGUGUACCCCGCUUUGCCGACCCUGCGCCAGACUGAACACAGCACUCCUCCUCUUUCCCGAAAAGCCCCAUGGAGACCUCUGAAGGGACGUCAUCUUCUUAAGGACCCGCCAGGAGCUGUAGGAUCCACCUAAGACAGCUUCUGCAGGAUCACCAAACACGUGCUGGGCAUGGCGAGCUGGGCAGAGGGCAGGAUUCUCCCACAGAGGACGCUCCUGAAUGUCAGAAAGAACAUGUGACCUCAUGACAAAUUCUUCAUCACCAAUUCUUCUAAGUCACGCAAGAACCCCCGCUUGUAAGGGCUCCAGGUCACCAUGGAUGUACUGGAAUGUCCCAUAGCCGCAUGGCCCAGAGAUGCGCUGCUGCUGGACUUUUCCAGGCCCUCGGGGGAAACCCACCCCAGAGCUUUCCAGGAGUCAGGUACUUUUGGAUUUGUUUCCUUUUUCAAUAUGUACCCACAAGGAGCCUGGUUCCCUUGCACUCCCUGGGAGGGGGAUCGUGCAGUGGUUGCCAGGCUGGAUCUGGUCACCCUGGCUCAUUGGAUGUCCCUGGGCAGGUCACACUUAGCAGCAACCUUUGGGAGGUGUCCCUCUGGUUUCUCAUCUGUGUAUGCAGCAAGGAAACCAUAACUCCCCCCUUCACAGGGUUAAGUGAGGAUACAGUAAUUCACACAAGUACUGAACGAUGCCUCGCCCCCCCGGAAGCCUUCAAAAUGUGUUAGCUAAUUACUCACAGGGAAAAGUUAAAGCUGUAUGAAAUGCUUAUUUCUCAGAGAGGCAGAGAGGCUCGAGGAGGCCUCUGUAGUGCAAUAUGGACUCAACAUGAAGGAAAAGCUUUUCUGGCCGGCGCACCUUCCAGGUCAAGAAAGGGCAACCAAAUGGGCCCCAAGUGGCCCAGGCCUGAGGUUUGAGGGGUAAGUUCAUGCACAGUGGCGAGGAGAGGCUUGUCACCAGUGUGGACAGUAACCAUCCACCCGCCCAGCAGGAGCUGUGGCUCCAAACAGUAGGCCUCGGGGAGACAAGCGAGGACCCCUUCUCUCGCACUGCUCACUUGACACAUAUUUAGACAUUAUACACUGCAUCCCACGGCACUUGACGCAGAAACGUGGGGACCUCCCAACCCCCAGCCACAGCCACGCUGCUCCAGGCGUGAUUUAGGGUCUGGGCUUAUUUAUGAGAGCCCGUGAGUUCAUUUCAAAAUGUCAAAUGAUCCUUGGUGACUAAUGGUCCCUGCUGCGCUCAGUAUCUUCACAGAGGUCGUCCUUCCGCGCUCUGAGGUCCUCCAUGCUCCGGGAACAUCCAUCUGGGUGUCUGUUGCAAGGAGCUAUUGUGUCAUCAAAUCACCCAAAAAAGCCAGGGAGCCCAGCCCCUGCUGAGGUGAGGAAUGGGGGUGUCUCAGCAACAAGGCACACCCCAAAGAACAAAGGAGGCAAGAGCUGGAGAAUGGGAGCAUACACAUUCACCCACCGAGAAAAAAAUAAACGGUGCAUUGGGCAACUGGGUCUCACGUGACGUGUUCCAGAAACAAUUUUAUUACUUUACUGUUUUUGCUCAUAACUUACCCAUUGAAACCUACUCUGUGGAGCUAGGUCUGAUUUUACCCAUAAGUGAAUCUCUGACAGGGUCUGUGGCUCUCCUUUUAAAAAAAUCCUCUGGCCACUAUUUAGCAACUUUUAUUAUGGA